rnacentral:rRNA from 1 species
GGAGAGAUCCUAUCCUUCAGUUCGGCUGGAUCGGAGACAGGUGCUGCAUGGCUGUCGUCAGCUCGUGUCGUGAGAUGUUGGGUUAAGUCCCGCAACGAGCGCAACCCUCGCCCUUAGUUGCCAGCAUUCAGUUGGGCACUCUAAGGGGACUGCCGGUGAUAAGCCGAGAGGAAGGUGGGGAUGACGUCAAGUCCUCAUGGCCCUUACGGGCUGGGCUACACACGUGCUACAAUGGUGGUGACAGUGGGCAGCGAGACCGCGAGGUCGAGCUAAUCUCCAAAAGCCAUCUCAGUUCGGAUUGCACUCUGCAACUCGAGUGCAUGAAGUUGGAAUCGCUAGUAAUCGCAGAUCAGCAU